GAUUGUUCCCUUGUUUCCAGUGCAGGAAAUCAUGGUGUCUUUUCUUUGUUUGUUUGUUUGUUUGUUUAUUUAUUUAUUUGUUGUUUGUUUGUUUGAAAAGUGAGCAAAUAAGUACAUCACGUCUUGCUCCACAAUCCAUGUCUGAUAAAUCCUGACCUAAAAACAUCGUUUUUAACUCAUUGCACUUGUGUGUCCUUCCGCUUCUGCUUCGCCGAAUAUUGGUGGGACUCUUUGCUGCAGACAAGACCCACUUGUGUUGUUGCAUACAAUUCAUUCAGUAUCACGUAAAUCAAUAAGUGUGUUUAUUACAUGUGCAUACAUAUAUGCAUGAUUUUAUUCUCAGGGCUUGUCGAAGUGCAUUGUUAAACUUAAGUGUAAUUUUCAGAGUUUCUGUAAUUGGUUAUUGAUUCUUUAAUUUUUUAAUUUUUUAAUUUUUUUUGGCACUUUAUGAAGAGUUUGGAAAACUUUUACCUGAGUUUCGAUCACAAUUUAUGUAUGCUGGUUGUUGAGCCUUUGUUGGAUUUGGUUAUAUCUUUGUUUUUAAAGAUCUCAUUGGAUGGUUUAAGUUUAGAAGAGGGAGGGAGUCUUGAAUAAAAGAUCAAAAAGAGUUUUGAAUGAGUUUUUUGAGCAAUACAUCAAUAUUUUAUUACUUUUGGUUGUUAAUGUUUUAUCAAACAUUUUUACUUUUGGAAGUUUGUGUAUUGUAUUGUCUUUGCAUUACAGUUUUAGCUGCUUAUUAGCUUGUGGAUUUAAAAGCAAUUGCUUUUCAGUAUGAUCUUUACAAUGAUCACAAUAAUAUAAAGUUGCUAAGUUCAAAGCUUGAUAAUUUAGGUUCUUCAUCAAAAUUUCAACAUCCUUUUGGCAAUACUUGAACAAGUUUGUAACAAUUUUUUAGCAUUUUAUAAAUUGAAUGACAUACAAAAAUAGUCAGGAAAAAAAAGCUCAAUUCCCUAAUGCUUAAAUGUGCAUUAGGAACCUUAAAACAGUGUUUUUGCUAAUAGCAUUAGAGAGCAUGAAAAAAAAAAAACAUUUUUGCAGAAUGAUGAGUCUUAAGUUUAAAUCAGCCACGAUAAAGCCAAUGAUAAGGGUGAAAUUAAUGUCAUAAAGCAUAUUUGUCUUUAUAGAAAAAUUGAUUAAAAUAUCAUAUAAAAAUAAUUACAUAUUGUAGUGCCGUGAUUUUUUAAAACAUGUUUUGAUUUAUUUCUAUUCUUGAAUUCAAGUUAAAAUAUUCAUGAACAUGAUUUUUUUUGUCGAAAUAGAAAUUUUCUUUGCAUAAAAAGAACAGAAAUUCAUGUAUAUAAAUAUACCAUAUAUAGAUAAAUUUUCAUAUUUUCUGCAAACAUUUUAAACAGCUAUUAUUAUUGUUGUUGUUUUUAUGUUUUAAUUUUAUUUAAUUUAAUUUUUAAUGUAAGGGGAUUUAUCAUGGAUUUAUCAACGGUUUCUCUUGCAACAAAAUGUUUCAUAUGAUAAUAAUUUUCACAAAAUUUUCUUUAUUUUUAAAAUAUUAUAUUAUUAUGUUAGUUUUGUGACAUAUGUUUCAAAGCGUGCAUUAUAGUUUUUGGAAACUCUUUUUAAUAGGAUUUUAUUUUUAUUUAUUUUUAUUUUUAUUUAGAUUUUGUAAACUCAUGCAAUCAAAAAGAUUCCUUUAAUUCUUCUACACAAUUUCUGUGUAGAUUGUUGCAUCAAUUAAAAAAAUCCAUGUUCAAUUUUGUAUUACCAUAUGUUAAUGAUCUUUCAAAACAUGCUGACUACAUUGUAUACAAUUUAUGAUUUUAUAGUUUUUUAUAAAACCUAUAUUGGAGAUAAAGUAACAUCUUUUCUAAAUUUUUA
rnacentral:lncRNA from 1 species